UACGGGGGGAGCAAGCGUUGUUCGGAUUUACUGGGCGUAAAGGGCGCGUAGGCGGUCGUGACAAGUCACUUGUGAAAUCUCCGGGCUUAACUCGGAACGGUCAAGUGAUACUGUCGGACUAGAGUACAGAAGGGGCAACUGGAAUUCUCGGUGUAGCGGUGAAAUGCGUAGAUAUCGAGAGGAACACCGGUGGCGAAGGCGGCAUCCUGGACCGGUAUUGACGCUGAUGCGCGAAAGCCAGGGGAGCAAACGGG
rnacentral:rRNA from 1 species